GAUGCAUGUCACCAUUGUGAUGUCAUAAUCACGGUCACCACACUGGUGUCAUUUUCUCCAGAUGGGGCCUUGUGUUGCACCUUUGCUUGGAUUGGCUAUCCUCGACUCUCAUUGGAGCUUUUCAGUAUCUACAGAGAUCAUCUGAAAAGGGAGAUUCCAAUCUUGGGCUGAAAAAGCAUAAUGGCAGUGGGUCCUGGACUUUUAUUUUAAGUGGAAUUAUAUGGGAGGAGUGGUGAAGUAGCCCAAGCAAACUCCUAUUUUUGUGAAACCAGUUGAAACCCUUUCAGUUCAAUUACCACUGUUAUGAUCUUUAACAUCUUGCUCACAGCCUAGUCAAUUAUGACAGCACCUGCUAAGGUCUGUAAUGAAAAAAAUAUUGUUUUGUGAGACAAGUGACAGUUCCUCUACAUACAGCCUAAUUGGAUGAGAAUCGUUCAUGCUAAGCUAAGGUUAGCAAAUGUUCAGUUACGUCAGAGAACUGAUAUGAUUGGUUCAGGGUGAUACAUGUGACCCAAGCUAAAGCAAGUUAGCCGUUAUGUUUUUGUCCAUGGAAAAUGGCUAAGAUUGCUAUCUCCCCCUGUAAGAACAUCUCUGUAUCUAUGUCCCUACAGUGUUAUCCAUCCAUGUAUGUAAUCUGAUCUGAAGGCAUGCUCAUGAAUGUACUUUUGCAUGCAAAUGUGGUAUAUUUUUCCAUAUACAAUAACUAGACUGAAGUGCUUAUUUUACAGUCCUCACUUGUCCUAGAUUUCAGUGUUCAGUGAGCCCUUAUAUUUCCAAAGACUGGCCAGUGGCCUGAGCAAGAGUUUUGCUUUUUGAAGUGAUGUGAUGUCAUCUAUCGGUCAUCAGAUGUGUUAGUGAUGUCAUAAGAAGAUUAUUAAAUAAUGAUAUUUGUCAGGCAGUGAUGGCAGAGAGAUGCAGCAAGGUUUCCUGGCCCACUCAUCUUUGCGAUGGGGGACUCUAUAGUGAACAUUUAUGGUGGUUAUUCACUAUACAGUGAGUGGGUGGAUGUUCUGAACACAGGAUGUGAUUUCACAUAUGCAGAAGAAGACAGCUGAAUGUCUGGUCAAAUUGUCCUUCAGACCGCGGAUGAAAGGGAAUGAAGGUGAUGAGUAGCUGUGUGUGUGAAUUCCUGUGCAUGAAUGUGCUGUUGAGAAUCAUGAAUGAUUGAAAAUCUUUAGGAAAUGAAAUACAGAAUGAUUAAGUCCAUAGCUAAGUGUACCCAAUGGGUUAGACAUAUUUUUGAAAUCCUAGAUAAGUGAGAAUUAAUUGGUUUGAAAUCCACUGGAGAAAAAGUCAACUGCAGUCAUACCUGUGGUUACACUUUAUCAAGAAUUUCCUUGAAUGAAAUACAGGAAGUCAUUUCAUGGACUGAUGGAGAUGACGUCACAGCCCAGCUGUACAAUGAUGGUUUGAACAGUAUUCCAGGUGCUUCAGCAAAUAACUUAAGACCUUAGAAUCUCCUUGGCUUCGCUGUCCUUGGUCCCCAUAGAUACCAUUCUGCUGUGACAUCAUGUCCAUUGUGGCAUCAUUGUUACUUCACUACUCAAUUCACCUUUGGCUAAGCCCCGCCCCCCUUAGUUACUGUUGCUACGUCCGACAACUUCUGGGCUCUGGUUUUCUGACUGGUUAUCCUAAGACUCUGGUUAGGUAUCAACAACAUGGCUUAUGCUGUGACAGCUCUUCCUGCUGAACUUUUGUCAAACUUUUAUAAAGCAGCAAAUAAAGUGUCCGAUAGGAGUAGACAAAAGGGUCUGCAAUAUGCGUUCGAAGGCUAUAUUCAGGACAUACAGGUGAAACGCAAAGAACAACAAGGCAUCCAAAUAGAGGCAAAAGCAUACCGGUCACAGUGAAAAAAUGAACCACCGCAUAUCCUACUAAUCGAGACGGAGGCUGGGACUGACAAUAUCAAGGAGCAACACUGUUCAUGCAAAGCUGGCUCUACAGGGUUUUGCGCGCACAUCAUUGGGCUUAUCCAUACCCUGGAUCUCUGCAAGGCACAACACAUAAACGCUGUGCCAGUUCAGUCCUCCACAAGCUUACCCCAACAAUGGCAUAAGCCAAGAGGUGCUAAAGUAGCACCACAGCCUGUGACAGCAGUCGUUGUGGCCAGGGCCAAGACAGAGCGAAAACGGAGACCCAUCUUCUGCCAAUACAGCAAUGACAGGGCCAUCUCUGAGGUAACAGAUCAGGAUUUGUUGUUAUUGAGACAGCUGACAGGGACACCUAUGAGCUACAUAGCAAGCAAACCCCAGAUAGAUGUAGUGAUAGGUCAGGAGAAGUACCCUCUUGGAAGUGGCUUGAGCUACCAGCUCCCACUAUUGGACAACACUUCACAAGCAUCCUCC